CUUAAAGAAAAUGGUUCCAGAAGAGGUACUUUGCAAAGUUUCAAUUGCUGGCAAAAACAAAGAUGGAAAUAAACUGGACGAGGUCCAGAUGGAAAUGAUCAAAGAGACAGUAUGUGAUGUAUACACUUGUGACUCCCAUACUGAAAGGAAAUGUCUCUGGAAGAUGUGCAAAACAUCUCUUGUACAGAUGCUUAAACAUGCACGUACUAAAGGAUGUAAAAACACAGUGGUUCCCAAGAUGUUUUAAUCAGCCUCUAUUGGACCAAGCUACUUUUUACUGGACCAAAUAAAAACAAAACAU